UGCUAUGAUGUUGUAAUUUGCGUCUGAUGCGGUCUUCAGGGACAGUUGCCUGCUGUCCGCUUGCUGUUACCGUUGAGCUGAAGACUCUCUCAAGCUGAGCA